AAUUUAGGUAUUACAACUCUCCUUCCCUUAAAAGAAAUUUGGUCUCUCAAAUUUGCCUCUCUCUCACUCAAUCAAACAAUUAGAGAUAUUGGGCUCUGAAGUCUUAUUCUAGCUCCCAUGUGGCCUUGUCCGGUGUGUGAUUUUACCAUAGGACCUUAACAAAGAAAAUUUUCCAGUUGCAGAGUACUUUGUUCUUUCGGUCCAUGAUGCCAACCAAUACUUUCUCGUAGGACAGAUCCUCAUGGAGGGGAAGAUGCUCCUGGGCCGAGACGUGAAAGGGGUCCGAGUUGUACUUGCAUAGCAUGGACAUAUGAAACACAUUAUGGACCCUAAAAAGUUCUAANN
rnacentral:lncRNA from 1 species